rnacentral:rRNA from 1 species
UAACGCGUAGGUAACCUGCCUUGUAGCGGGGGAUAACUAUUGGAAACGAUAGCUAAUACCGCAUAACAAUGGAUGACACAUGUCAUUUAUUUGAAAGGGGCAAUUGCUCCACUACAAGAUGGACCUGCGUUGUAUUAGCUAGUAGGUGAGGUAACGGCUCACCUAGGCGACGAUACAUAGCCGACCUGAGAGGGUGAUCGGCCACAUUGGGACUGAGAUACGGCCCAG